GAUGUAGGGCGCGAGCGUUGUCCGGAUUUAUUGGGCGUAAAGAGCUCGUAGGCGGCUUGUCGCGUCGACUGUGAAAUCCCGCGGCUCAACUGCGGGUCUGCAGUCGAUACGGGCAGGCUAGAGUUCGGUAGGGGAGACUGGAAUUCCUGGUGUAGCGGUGAAAUGCGCAGAUAUCAGGAGGAACACCGGUGGCGAAGGCGGGUCUCUGGGCCGAUACUGACGCUGAGGAGCGAAAGCGUGGGGAGCGAACAGG
rnacentral:rRNA from 1 species